ACAUAACUUUCCACAGUAUCCUGAUGUCAAUGCGAGUGUGUUCCCUGCAUUUUCAUUCUGGAAAACCAGCAAAUGAAAUGUACACCUCGCAUCCGGAUUGGGCACCAUCACUACACUUGGGCCACACUGAGAUAAAGGCCACACAGACUGCACACUAUGAGAGACAGGAAAAGAGAAAACGGCAAAGGACUGACAGUACACCUGCGAGGAUGAGACAGCUAUUGAUGACCUUGUUCCACCCGUGGAGACACCAGCACCAGCUGAGGAUGGAGCUGAGCAGACACCGCUGACAGAAUGUGACUUCUGUCAGCGCCGGCAUGCUGAAAUCAACCGGCUGCUGGAGGAGAACAGGACCCUGAAACGUGAGCUUGGCCAGAGAAAAAUGGAUGAAGAUUUCCUGAAGGAAGACACCGUCAAAGUGAAAUACUACACUGGACUUCCACACCUUGAAGUCAACCACUUUAUUCUGGUGUUUAUGAAUUACUGUAUUAAAGAAAAGAUUGAUGCUCAA